UACGGAGGGAGCUAGCGUUGUUCGGAAUUACUGGGCGUAAAGCGUGCGUAGGCGGUUUGUUAAGUCUGCUGUGAAAGCCCCGGGCUCAACCUGGGAACGGCAGUGGAUACUGGCAAGCUAGAGUGUGUCAGAGGAUGGUGGAAUUCCCGGUGUAGCGGUGAAAUGCGUAGAGAUCGGGAGGAACAUCAGUGGCGAAGGCGGCCAUCUGGGACAACACUGACGCUGAGGCACGAAAGCGUGGGGAGCAAACAGG
rnacentral:rRNA from 1 species